AGAAAUACAAACUACAUCUGGACUGCCAACAUGGAGAGGCAGAUGCUACUCAUGAUUCUCAUCGUAGUUACAGGUGGAUUUGCAGACAAAAUUGAACCAAGAGAAGGAGAUAUUAAUUUAAUCAAGGAAGAAGGAGAAUUUGUGACACUGAGCUGCACAUAUGAUGUGGGCAGCAAUAAUGUUUGGCUUUACUGGUACAGACAGUAUCCAAAUGGAGAACCUCGGUUUUUACUACUCAAAGGUGCUCGAUCACAGACCUAUGAGAAUAUAGCAGACAAUCGGUUUCGGUCGACUACAUCCCAGUCAUCCACUGAACUCAUUAUUGAGAAAGCAGCUCUGUCAGAUUCAGCUCUCUAUUACUGUGCUCUUCGAGUAGCCCAGUGA